rnacentral:rRNA from 1 species
UACGGGGGGGGCAAGCGUUGUUCGGAAUUACUGGGCGUAAAGGGCUCGUAGGCGGCCAACUAAGUCAGACGUGAAAUCCCUCGGCUUAACCGGGGAACUGCGUCUGAUACUGGAUGGCUUGAAUCCGGGAGAGGGAUGCGGAAUUCCAGGUGUAGCGGUGAAAUGCGUAGAUAUCUGGAGGAACACCGGUGGCGAAGGCGGCAUCCUGGACCGGCAUUGACGCUGAGGAGCGAAAGCCAGGGGAGCAAAAGGG